ACGUAGGGUGCGAGCGUUAAUCGGAAUUACUGGGCGUAAAGCGUGCGCAGGCGGUUGUGUAAGUCAGACGUGAAAUCCCCGGGCUCAACCUGGGAACUGCGUUCGAGACUGCACGGCUAGAGGAUAGCAGAGGGGGGUAGAAUUCCACGUGUAGCAGUGAAAUGCGUAGAGAUGUGGAGGAAUACCGAUGGCGAAGGCAGCCCCCUGGGCUAUUACUGACGCUCAUGCACGAAAGCGUGGGGAGCAAACAG
rnacentral:rRNA from 1 species